ACAGUCCCUAGCUGACUGUUGGAAGUGUGGAGUCCUUCUGGUCUGGAUAUACUUCAGCAUUUAGGUUAUUGACAGGUGAUGUUGGGGAGGAGAGGCAGACAUCAGCAGCUGGAAGGCAACAAGUGCACCGAUGUGAGAAAACAAGUGGCAGACACGUCAUCGACAGCUUUGCAACUCUGAGCCAGCUGACCCAGGCUGGAGCACCAUCCCUGCCCGAGGGAAGGCUUCUCCUGCUGGGGCCCACAAUCCCACUCGACACGCCACGGUCUGGACUUUAUCCACUCCAUCUGUGACCAUGUUUGCCAUAGUCCUUCGUCUGGGGACGUGGCCGAGCUGAGACCACGAGAUCAGACCGGCUGAUAAGAGCGUAAUAAUUCUUUACUACCUGACAAAAUGUAAUCAGUGCACCAACGUGCCUCGACGGCUGCAGUCUGGAGGAAAAUACACACUUCUCAUGCAAAUGGUUCCCACACUGCGUCUGUAUGUUGUAGAGUGUUGUUUAUAGAUUAUAGAGUAGUUUGUGCAGUGACACAAUAGGAGAAACGCACACGCCAGCAAUGUGGCAAUAUCACAUGACACAACUAAAUGUGUGGAAAGCAAAUCCCAUGAGUUACUCACGUGUGGAAAUGAACAGAUUUACAUUCAGCUCUUGGUAUUAGGCUAUAGAUAGUUGAAUCCAAAGCAACAUGACACAAAAUCUCUCCAGUUUUGAGUCAUUUUGAAGCUUUUUUUUGUAGGGUAACCAGAAACUUAGGAAGACAUUUGAUGCGGUGUAAAAUUACCACCGUUACACUCUUGACUUUGAAGACUGGGAGAUGAUUCACUGAGUAUUUACUUGCUUUUUGCUGCCCAUGCCUGGCUAUGUUUAACAGUGCAAAACAUUUUUUUUCCAUUGAUUGUUAUUUUCCAACAUAUUCCUCAUAGAAAAUCCUAUAUAUCAGAGGUGUCAAAAGCCAUUUGCAGCUCGCUGUUUGUUUUUUAUUAGCCCGCGAAAUAAAAUUCAAUAAAAAAAUAAACAAACGAAUCGAACAAAAAGGCCCAAUAUAGAGACAAUUUGUUUUUAGCCUGGACAGCCCUGCUAUUUGUAGUCAUUUUUGCCUGUAUUUCCAUUGUAUUUUUUAGACAAUUGAUUGAAUUCGGAGGAGUCUGAUUCAACUAUCAAUCUCGCAGUUCAAUCAUAAAAAUGUCAUGUGAUCAAGACUGUACCUUUCUGACUACAAGGGGGUGCCCACGGUUGCUGCUGAGCAUACAUUUUUACAUAGAAUGUCUUUGUUUUUGUUAUAAAUCACCUAUUUUUGUACAAAAACAGCCUAACUUGUGUUAAUGAAGAAUUGAAAAUGACAGGUGUGUUUAACAGAAGACCUAUACUUACUACACUUUAAUAAAAUGACCAGCGUCAGUGGCAUAAUCCCAAGGAGCUGAGGUGAGUUCUAGCUUUGGAUGUUAGGAAGAUCGUCAAAAAUAAUCCUGACUGUGGACGUAUUUUGAAAAUGUUAAAGAUGACUCCAGUAAGUGAAGUGCAACUUGUGUCAGCAGCUUCUUACAUAUCACUCGACAACAACCAACAUACCGCAUGAUUGCAAACGGGUCAGGCUGUUACGCCAACUUCAUGUUAUAUCCCAAAAGUGAAUUUUAGGGCAAGAAAUGAGGCUGCUAACUGAGAGUUAUGGCGAGUUGCUGUUUUUCAAGCCAUGUUGUUCCUAUUCUAUGUGCACU